rnacentral:misc_RNA from 1 species
CCGGUUUUCGGGUGCGCUCGCGCGCCCAAACCCCCAACCCUGUGAUUUGACCAACCUGUUUCUUUGCCGGCCCCGGCCGGCAGAAGUUUUCUCAAACUCACUGUAAUCGUGUCGUCUGAAAUGUGAUAUUAAAAUCGAAUUA